UAGGGCCACAAUUAAAAAUAUUUUGGUUUGCCCAAACCCUACCCAAGGUUGAGACAGUGGAUAGGUAGGUAGGCAUUUUCUUUUCUUUCUUUUUUUUUUAAAGAAAUUUACGUAUCAAAUGUUUAUUAGUCUUCAUGCCUAUCUGAUUAAAAAAAAACUUCUUCAAAUCAGGACAAUAAAAGAAUUUGAGUAGGCAGUUUUUUUCUGGGUAGGUAGGGUUUGGGCAAACAAACCUAUUCUUUUUUAUGGCCUAG
rnacentral:lncRNA from 1 species